AUCGCUUCUCGGCCUUUUGGCUAAGAUCAAGUGUAGGAAUGUUCCCAAUUUAGCAUUCUUUUUCUGUUCUUCCAUAUUCUGUAUGAUCAAUGUCAGAUGGGAAUCAAUUUUGCAAGUACAACUGCAACCUGUGAAUUUAAUCUUUU
ensembl:snRNA U2 U2 spliceosomal RNA